rnacentral:rRNA from 1 species
UGCCUGGCGGCCGUAGCGCGGUGGUCCCACCUGACCCCAUGCCGAACUCAGAAGUGAAACGCCGUAGCGCCGAUGGUAGUGUGGGGUCUCCCCAUGCGAGAGUAGGGAACUGCCAGGCUCC